rnacentral:rRNA from 1 species
AUGGAGCCUGCGGUGAGAGCUGAAGACGAGGCGAUGAGCACGGAGGAGCUGCUCCAAGCCCAGACGGAUCUCUACCACCACUCCCUAGCCUACAUCAAGUCUAUGGCGCUUGGUGCCGCCACAGAACUCGGCGUCGCCGACGCCAUCCACGGCCGUGGCGGUGCCAUCACCUUGUCUCACCUUGCGGCCGCGACCGGCGUCCACCCGACGAAAGUCCAACACUUCGGGCGGCUGAUGCGCGCGCUUACCGUCACUGGUGUCUUCACCUCGGAGGAAAAAGAAGGCGGUGGUGGUGCCCUGUACAAGCUCACUCGGAUUUCACGCCUCCUUGUCGGAGUCGGCAAGCGUCGGCUCUCCCCGAUGGUGCGUAUGCUUGUCAGCGAGGUCAGUUUCACCACUCCCAUGAGCAUCUGCGAGUGGAUCACCACUGAUACGCCGGCCAGGGCCAUGUUCGAGGCCCAUUUUGGCUCUACGCAAAAUGGGUUGUGGGAGAAGGAGGACGCGUAUGGUGCCCCCUUCUACUCAGCAAUGUCUGCGGACAGCCGUGUCGUCAUGGAGGUUCUGCUGAGAGAGUGCAGCAGCGUCUUUGAGGCCGUCGCCGGCUCACUUGUCGAUGUCGGCGGCGGCAGCGGUGGAGUCGUGGCUGCCGCCAUCGCCACAGCGUUCCCUCACAUCAAGUGCUCCGUGCUGGACCUCCCCAACGUGGUAGCAGCGGCCGACGACACCAGCAACGUGCAGUUCGUCUCCGGCGAUAUGUUUGACUACAUUCCACCAGCGGAUGCCGUUCUACUCAAGUGGAUUCUGCAUGACUGGGAAGACCAAGACUGCGUCAAGAUACUGCGCAAGUGCAGAGAGGCCAUCACCACAAGAGGUGCUGGGGGGAAGGUGAUUAUAAUCGAUUUCGUCGUCGGUGCUGGUUCUUCCAAGGAGACGGAGACACAGGUUCUGUUUGAUCUUUACAUGAUGAUGGAGAAUGGGGCUGAGCGGGACGAGCACGAGUGGAGCAAGAUUUUCUUUGAAGCUGGAUUUAGCGACUACAAGAUCAUGCCAGUCUUAGGCGCUCGUUCACUCAUUCAAGUAUUCCCAUGA